CAAUUCUUUCUUAUGCUGGACAUUCAUGGCUUCUUUUGUGGUCCUGAGGCUCAUCUAUUUUCCUCUCUUUCUGUUCUGGAGUCUUGAAUUAUAACUUUCAUUUUGCUUGUCAGCUCUAUGAUUAUCUGGGAAAUUACUUCUGUUUUAAAUUUCGCUAGAGCCUGAUUGAUCAAUUUUGUUACUUCCUGUACCUUGAAUUCAGAGUGUCCUGAUGGUUCACUGUCAGACUUUUCAUCCUCAUUUGCCCCACUGUUUGCCACUGCUUUCUUCUUACUCUGUGGUCUCUCUCAGGUAUGAUACAAGAAAGAUCAUAUCUUGAAGGUAAAAAAAAAUUUUUUUUUGGUACCAGGGAUUGAACUCGGGUCCUUGCGCUUGCAAGGCAGGUGGCAGAACCAUUGAGCUAAAUCCCCAACCCUCAGAAGGUAAAUUCUUAUCCUCCUCCAUUAUUUUCAGCUAAACCAUCUAUUUUGCAUUUUUGAGCUUGAAAGAUUUCUUUUUUUUUUUUUUAGGUACUGGGGAUCGCACCUGGGUCCUUGCACUUGCAAGGCAGGUGGCGGCAACACCCACCCCCUUUUUGAGACAGAAUCUCACUAUGUAGUUCAGGCUGGCCUUGAACUCACUGUAUAGCACAAGCUGGCUUUGAACUCUCAGCAAUCCUCCUGCCUCAGCCUUCCAAGUCCUGGGUUUACAGGCAUACGCCACCACAUUCAGCUCAAAGAUUUCAUUUUGAUGAUGAUUGUGCCCCUAAAGAAUGUGAAAACUGGAAUGGAAAAUAAAGUGAAGCAGUGUUCUAUUAUGUAUUUUUCAGCAGAAUGCUCUCCUGCUAAAUUAGAAUGUUUUCCACCCCUACAUCUUUCUUCAGGCCAAAGGAUGAAAAUAAGACCCAAAGAAUCUUCCAAAUUAAAUCCUCAAAUCCUCAGCAGCAUCAUGUGUAAGCAACUAGUCAAUCUUCAUGACCCAGUUUACUCAUCUAUAAAAUAGGGUUUAAAAAAAAUAAAUAAAAUAAGGUUUAUAUAAGACCUUUCUCAAAGAAUUGAGGUGACAAUAAAGUAAGUGCC
rnacentral:lncRNA from 1 species